GCGGCUGUUUCUUUCCUUUCGUCCAGCGGCGGGCCGGGAGCAGCACCGGAGAGCUGGGACCCGCGGUCGCCGUCCGCGGUCCUGGGAAAGGCCGCGGAUAGAUCGGACAGUGAGGCUCCCUGUAGAGCUGUGGUUAAAUCAGUCUGCCCUGUGGCCACCCCGUAGGGCGUCCAGCUUUGUCCAGUAGGCUGCAGUGUCUGCUCAAUGCCGGGUGUAAAUAAAAAACUAUCGAAAUCAGCCAGGCUAAUGUUGCUUUCCAAAAUUAAGUGACUUGGGUGAUGUAGAAAUCGCGACUCAGAAUGUCUAGAAAGUAUGUUCGGAAUGCUUUCCAGAUCUCCACCCUUCAGCAAUUCGGUUUAUUCAAGGUUGAAACAGGGUAACAAGAUUUGUAACCUCUUAACCCUUCUACACCUCUACCAUCGACUCCCUGAUCUCGAAUCGUCAUGGAUUCGACCAUGAAGCAUUCACGAUGGAGCAAACUUUACCUUGAAUUCUUCCAAGAUGAAUUUGAGCCUGCGUGCUUGGGGGUAAAAACGUGGCUGACAUGUCUGAACAAAAUAUAUGGUCAUUUUCAUCUCUGACUGGAACUUGAAUUGGCUUCAGCAAGAACCAGCUCACACCUAAGUCAUCAGCAAGACUCUUGCAGAUUUCUUCUGGAGAGACAGAAAUAUCUGCAGCCAGGAGGACGGCUGUUGGAGGAAUUCAGGAGCAUUCAACGGAGUCUCCUGGAGUCGGGGAGUGGUCAGUUUUACACAUCCUCCUCAGGACCUCACAGGCAAGAACAGCAGGAUCUGCUUCCUUCAUGAAACCUUGGCUCUGUUCUAUCCAUCGACAGUCCUUCAGGAUACCUAACCUGUCCAGAAAUCAAGGUGGGCGGGGNNNNNNNNNNNNNNNNNNNNNNNNNGGGGGGGGGGGGCAGCAUCACUUACCAUUCUCCCAUCAAUCCAUGACAGAAUUUGCUUUGGAUACUUUGCUGGCUGAGAGGCCUUAGUUCCAGCAAGGGAGGCAUCUUACCAGGAGAAAUAAUAAGAAUGGUGUCACUGAGCAGAAAAUUAGACUGCCACUUGGACGCUCUAGGCUCCUUGUGCCUCUGAGUCAACAGGCAAGGAAGGAAGUCAAGGGUGUUGCUGUAGGGUGGGGUGCUGAGUACUGAGGAGAAACUGGGCAACUACUCCACAGGUAAGGGAGGUAAGGAUAAGUGUGUCUGGACUAUAGGAGAAUGGCUCUAGUGAAGGCCCAUUGAAUAAAGGACCAUACCAGCUAAAGUUGCCAAAGGCAACAGAUAUCUACUGUGCAGUAGGAGAUAGUUAUAAAAACCAGCUAUGACCGUAUGGCAAGUCAUAGGAAUAAAAGCUAUAAUUGCUAUGGCUUCUCUCCAUGAAAGAGUGUGUAUUUGUAUGUGUAUUACUGUGCUGGAUAGUUUUAUGCCAACCUGACAUAAGCUGAGUCAUCUAAGAGAAGAG
ensembl:antisense Gm9828 predicted gene 9828